UUGUAGCUCAGUUGGGUAGAGCAGUCGACUAAUAAUCGAUCGGGUGCAGGUUCAAUUCCUGCCA
rnacentral:tRNA from 1 species